AGAGUUUGAUCCUGGCUCAGAACGAACGCUGGCGGCAGGCCUAACACAUGCAAGUCGAACGAUGCCUUCGGGCAUAGUGGCGCACGGGUGAGUAACACGUGGGAACAUACCUUUUGGUGGGGGAUAACUUCGGGAAACUGAAGCUAAUACCGCAUACGCCCCUUGGGGGAAAGAUUUAUCGCCGAAAGAUUGGCCCGCGUCCGAUUAGCCAGUUGGUGAGGUAAUGGCUCACCAAGGCUCCGAUCGGUAGCUGGUCUGAGAGGAUGACCAGCCACACUGGGACUGAGACACGGCCCAGACUCCUACGGGAGGCAGCAGUGGGGAAUAUUGGACAAUGGGCGCAAGCCUGAUCCAGCCAUGCCGCGUGAGUGAUGAAGGCCUUAGGGUUGUAAAGCUCUUCACCCACGACGAUGAUGACGGUAGUGGAGAG
rnacentral:rRNA from 1 species